UCGAGGGGAAACGGCAUUGGGUGCUUGCACUGAAUGGACGUCGACCGGCGCACGGGUGAGUAACGCGUAUCCAACCUUCCCGUUACUGUGGGAUAACCUGCCGAAAGGCAGACUAAUACCGCAUGUUCUUCGAUGACGGCAUCAGAUUCGAAGCAAAGAUCCGUCGGUAACGGAGGGGGAUGCGUCUGAUUAGCUAGUUGGCGGGGCGACGGCCCACCAAGGCGACGAUCAGUAGGGGUUCUGAGAGGAAGGUCCCCCACAUUGGAACUGAGACACGGUCCAGACUCCUACGGGAGGCAGCAGUGAGGAAUAUUGGUCAAUGGGCGGAAGCCUGAACCAGCCAAGUAGCGUGCAGGAUGACGGCCCUAUGGGUUGUAAACUGCUUUUAUGCGGGGAUAAAGUGAGGGACGUGUCCCUUUUUGCAGGUACCGCAUGAAUAAGGACCGGCUAAUUCCGUGCCAGCAGCCGCGGUAAUACGGAAGGUCCGGGCGUUAUCCGGAUUUAUUGGGUUUAAAGGGAGCGUAGGCCGGGGAUUAAGUGUGUUGUGAAAUGUAGGCGCCCAACGUCUGACUUGCAGCGCAUACUGGUUCCCUUGAGUACGCGCAACGCCGGCGGAAUUCGUCGUGUAGCGGUGAAAUGCUUAGAUAUGACGAAGAACCCCGAUUGCGAAGGCAGCCGGCGGGAGCGCAACUGACGCUGAAGCUCGAAGGUGCGGGUAUCGAACAGGAUU
rnacentral:rRNA from 1 species